GACAGAGGGUGCAAACGUUGUUCGGAAUUCCUGGGCGUAAAGGGCGCGUAGGCGGCCUUCUAAGUCGAACGUGAAAUCCCCGGGCUCAACCCGGGAACUGCGUCCGAUACUGGAAGGCUUGAAUCCGGGAGAGGGAUGCGGAAUUCCAGGUGUAGCGGUGAAAUGCGUAGAUAUCUGGAGGAACACCGGUGGCGAAGGCGGCAUCCUGGACCGGCAUUGACGCUGAGGCGCGAAAGCCAGGGGAGCAAACGGG
rnacentral:rRNA from 1 species